UACGUAGGUGGCAAGCGUUGUUCGGAAUUAUUGGGCGUAAAGGGCGCGUAGGCGGUUUGUUAAGUCAGCUGUGAAAGCCCGGGGCUCAACCCCGGAGGGUCAGCUGAUACUGGCAGACUAGAGUACAGAAGAGGUAACUGGAAUUCCCGGUGUAGCGGUGAAAUGCGUAGAUAUCGAGAGGAACACCUGAGGCGAAGGCGGGUUACUGGGCUGAUACUGACGCUGAGGCGCGAAAGCCAGGGGAGCAAACGGG
rnacentral:rRNA from 1 species